rnacentral:misc_RNA from 1 species
UUAAGUUCAGCGGGUAUCCCUACCUGAUCCGAGGUCAACCAUAGAAAGUUGGGGGUUUAAUGGCAGAAGCACGCGGGGACCCUGUAACGAGAUGUAUGUUACUACGUUCAGGACCCAACGGCGCCGCCACUGACUUUAAGGCCCGCCGGUCGCCCGGCGGAGGCCCAAUACCAAGCUGAGCUUGAGGGUUGAAAUGACGC